UUCGAGAUUAUAUGGAAUAUUAUCACUUUUGUACCCGUUUUAUCCCAUUCAAACUCUACAUUAUGAAGCAAGAUGACCAUAAUAUGUGAUUUUUAGCUUGUAUAUAUCAGUUUGUGGUGCAUCGAAAACUGUAUUUUUUACACAAAGAGUACAAACUAGAGCACAUUUCACGGAAUCUAGAUGACUAUGUUGAAUUUGGCACCAUAAAGGUAAGAAAAAAUCAUAGUUGAGGGGGGUAGAUGUAAUUAUCCAAACAAGAGGGGGUUUUUUGUAAUUUAACCAUACCUCAGGGGGGUGUUUGUAAUUUACCC
rnacentral:lncRNA from 1 species